CCGAGUUUACAACUCCCAAACCCCUGUGAACAUACCUUUAUGUUGCCUCGGCGGAUCAGCCCGCGCCCCGUAAAACGGGACGGCCCGCCGCAGGAAACCCUAAACUCUGUUUUUAGUGGAACUUCUGAGUAUAAGAAACAAAUAAAUCA
rnacentral:misc_RNA from 1 species